rnacentral:rRNA from 1 species
GAUGAACGCUGGCGGCGUGCCUAAUACAUGCAAGUCGAGCGAACGGACGAGAAGCUUGCUUCUCUGAUGUUAGCGGCGGACGGGUGAGUAACACGUGGAUAACCUACCUAUAAGACUGGGAUAACUUCGGAAGACCGGAGCUAAUACCGGAUAAUAUUUUGAACAGCAUGGUUCAAAAGUGAAAGACGGUCUUGCUGUCACUUAUAGAUGGAUCCGCGCUGCAUUAGCUAGUUGGUAAGGUAACGGCUUACCAAGGCAACGAUGCAUAGCCGACCUGAGAGGGUGAUCGGCCACACUGGAACUGAGACACGGUCCAGACUCCUACGGGAGGCAGCAGUAGGGAAUCUUCCGCAAUGGGCGAAAGCCUGACGGAGCAACGCCGCGUGAGUGAUGAAGGUCUUCGGAUCGUAAAACUCUGUUAUUAGGGAAGAACAUAUGUGUAAGUAACUGUGCACAUCUUGACGGUACCUAAUCAGAAAGCCACGGCUAACUACGUG